AGAGUUUGAUCCUGGCUUAGGAUGAACGCUAGCGGCAGGCCUAACACAUGCAAGUCGAGGGGCAGCAUUGGAGUAGCAAUACUCAGAUGGCGACCGGCGCACGGGUGAGUAACACGUAUCCAACCUGCCGCUUACUCGGGGAUAGCCUUUCGAAAGAAAGAUUAAUACCCGAUGGUAUAAAGAGUUCGCAUGUUCUCUUUAUUAAAGAAUUUCGGUAAGCGAUGGGGAUGCGUUCCAUUAGAUUGUUGGCGGGGUAACGGCCCACCAAGUCUACGAUGGAUAGGGGUUCUGAGAGGAAGGUCCCCCACAUUGGAACUGAGACACGGUCCAAACUCCUACGGGAGGCAGCAGUGAGGAAUAUUGGUCAAUGGACGAGAGUCUGAACCAGCCAAAGUAGCGUGAAGGAUGACUGCCCUAUGGGUUGUAAACUUCUUUUAUAAGGGAAUAAAGUGAGGGACGUGUCCCUUUUUGUAUGUACCUUAUGAAUAAGGAUCGGCUAACUCCGUGCCAGCCGCGGC
rnacentral:rRNA from 1 species